GGCGGUGUAGCUCAGCUGGCUAGAGCGUACGGUUCAUACCCGUAAGGUCGGGGGUUCGAUCCCCUCCGCCGCUACCA
rnacentral:tRNA from 114 species